GGGGAUUUAGCUCAGUGGUAGAGCGCUUGCCUAGGAAGCGCAAGGCCCUGGGUUCGGACCCCAGCUCCG
rfam:Rattus norvegicus chromosome 15, whole genome shotgun sequence.